GACGUAGGGCGCGAGCGUUGUCCGGAUUUAUUGGGCGUAAAGAGCUCGUAGGCGGCUUGUCGCGUCGUUCGUGAAAACCUGUGGCUCAACUACAGGCUUGCGGUCGAUACGGGCAGGCUGGAGUUCGGUAGGGGAGACUGGAAUUCCUGGUGUAGCGGUGAAAUGCGCAGAUAUCAGGAGGAACACCGGUGGCGAAGGCGGCAUCCUGGACCGAGAUUGACGCUGAUGAGCGAAAGCUAGGGGAGCAAACAGG
rnacentral:rRNA from 1 species